rnacentral:rRNA from 1 species
AUGCACGCUGGCGGCGUGCCUAAUACAUGCAAGUCGAGCGAACGGACGAGAAGCUUGCUUCUCUGAUGUUAGCGGCGGACGGGUGAGUAACACGUGGAUAACCUACCUAUAAGACUGGGAUAACUUCGGGAAACCGGAGCUAAUACCGGAUAAUAUUUUGAACCGCAUGGUUCAAAAGUGAAAGACGGCCUUGCUGUCACUUAUAGAUGGAUCCGCGCUGCAUUAGCUAGUUGGUAAGGUAACGGCUUACCAAGGCAACGAUGCAUAGCCGACCUGAGAGGGUGAUCGGCCACACUGGAACUGAGACACGGUCCAGACUCCUACGGGAGGCAGCAGUAGGGAAUCUUCCGCAAUGGGCGAAAGCCUGACGGAGCAACGCCGCGUGAGUGAUGAAGGUCUUCGGAUCGUAAAACUCUGUUAUUAGGGAAGAACAUAUGUGUAAGUAACUGUGCACAUCUUGACGGUACCUAAUCAGAAAGCCACGGCUAACUACGUG